rnacentral:rRNA from 1 species
CCUACGGGUGGCAGCAGUGGGGAAUAUUGGGCAAUGGGCGCAAGCCUGACGCAGCAACGCCGCGUGGAGGAAGAAGGCUUUCGGGUUGUAAACUUCUUUUCUCAGGGACGAAGCAAGUGACGGUACCUGAGGAAUAAGCCACGGCUAACUACGUGCCAGCAGCCGCGGUAAUACGUAGGUGGGAAGCAUUAUCGGGCUUUACUGGGUGUAAAGGGCGUGUCGGCGGUGACGUAAGUCAGCUGUGAAAUCCACGGGCUCAACCUGUGGCCUGCAUCUGAAACUGUGUUUCUUGAGUACUGGAGAGGCAGACGGAAUUCCUAGUGUAGCGGUGAAAUGCGGAGAUAUUAGGAGGAACACCAGUGGCGAAGGCGGUCUGCUGGACAGCAACUGACGCUGAGGCGCGAAAGCGUGGGGAGCAAACAGGAUUAGAUACCCGAGUAGUC